AUUAGGUUUUGGGGCUAGGGUUAGGUUUAAGGUUUUUGGCGUUAGGGUUAAAAUAACUGUCCAAUAUUUUUUAAGGAACAUGUUUCAGACCUUUGGGAGUUAGUUAGACAAAAAAAGAAAAAGAAAAAAAAAAUAUUUGGGGUGUUCGGGUUUCCUGAAGGUAAUACCCGGGUAUAAGGUUAUGGGGCUAGGGUAAGGUUUAAGGUUUUUGGCGUUAGGGUUAAAAUCAAUGUCCAAAACCUUUGUAGGAACUCUUUUCCAACAUUUGAGAGCAAGUUAGACCAAAACAAAAAGAAAAAUAAAAAAUAUAUAUUUGGGGUGUUCGGGCUUCCUGAAGGUAAUACCCGGGUAUUAGGUUAUGGGGCUAGGGUAAGGUUUAAGGUUUUUCGGCGUGAGGGUAAAAAUCACUGUCCAAAACCUUUGUAGGAACUCUUUUCCAACCUUUGGGAAUAAGUUAGACAAAAAAAAUAAGAUAAAUGAAAAAAAAAUAUUUGGGGUGUUUCGGGCUUCCUGAAGGUAAUACCCGGGUAUUAGGUUUUGGGGCUAGGGUUAGGUUUAAGGUUUUUGGCGUUAGGGUUAAAAUAACUGUCCAAUAUGUAGCAAUCAAGACAACCCUGGAUGUGAAACCCACACAUUCCUUACAGGAAAGUUUCCUUAUCUGGUCCCAGGAAACAGGAUAUAAAUCUUUCCAGACGUGUUUGCACUUUCAGGUUAAAUAAGUGACCCAACCGGAGGUUGACUAAACCUCUGACUCUUCAGGAUUGGUCAGUUCGGCGAACAGAGACAGAGUUUUUAUUACCUUUCAAACUGACUCCAUUUGCUGACCAUCUAAAUAAACAUUAACCUCAACCCAGAUCUCCCAUUUGAGAUUUAGCGUCUUAAAGUGUGUGAACAUACGGACCCCAGGAUAAGGGGGGGACACUGACCUCCAGACCUCGGUCGUAAAACCCUGCUCGACCAUACACUGAUAAAGACUGCAUUCCUUUGGUGAAAGAAUACAAAUGACUGAUCAUGACAUCUUAUGCAUUCAGCAAUGUACUAAUCUGUCUAAUCAUGAAAUUUGUGUUAAAAUGAGAUGUUUCCCAUUUUUCUAUGUGCUCCAGAAGCCGAGUUAUCGCUCUUUAGUUUCUUUAGACCAACAGCUUUUCAGACUGUUUCAUGAACUUUUAAGAGUUACAUUUAUUGACUAUGGAUCAUAACUUUACUCUAUGAACACAGAAAUAGUUUAGAAAUGUUUGGUCUAUAUUUUAAUCGUUUAUUUAGUAUUUUUAACCAUUAGGUGGUUAUAAUGUCAUUGAAUAACCUUAAUGUGAGUAUUUAGAAUCCAUUAUUAAUCAUGAUGAAGUUCAUUCACAUGUGUUUACUCUUUUGUUGUUCACAGUUUCCAUGUGUUACUAUCUGUUUCAUUUCAGAGUAAUUUAGCAUGUUCAAUGUGAUACUUUAAACAUAAUGAGAAUGUUUGAUGUGAUCCUACACUUCAUUCAUAUGUGUUUAGUGUCAAAUUAUUUGUCAUGAAACCAAGCAUUCAAUGAUAUUAAUCAUAGUGAGUGAGUAUCAGAUCUGACUCUUUUACCAGCCAAAAGAAUAAGUUAGAUCAAAUAAUCAAAGACCACACGACCCUCCUCUGUCUCACACACACACGCCGGAGCCACUCCCAGUGUGAGAAGAUAAAACCAGUGAAGUGGGGUUGCUCACUCUCUUAUGCUUCUCUUAUGUCUCUUCUGCUUCUGCUCUUGUGUGCUGACUCUCCUGUCUCUCUUAGGCCCCUUACUCUUGGGCCCUUCUCUUCUGUCCACACCCUUCUGUGGUCCUCUUCUUCUUUGUUUUCUCUUAGAACUUUUUCUUAGUCUUCUAAGUUUUACGCCACGUGUUGAUUCACGUUGAUUUUUCUUUAACAUCGUCUUAGUUCAAGUUUUGAAACUUCAACUUUUUGUGCGCAUAGCAAUUCAAGAUUAAGCCUUUGAUUGAUUUUUCUUUAAUUUUGCAAAGCCAUUUUUGAAAGUUUUCUCUGCUCGAGUCUCGUUUUUCUGAGUUUUCUGCGUGAUCUCAAAGUCACCUCUGAACGCAACCCAGUAGGCCCAGGUCAUCCUCUGUGCCAGAGUUUUUGAGUGAGACCAAAGAAGUACCCAAACGAGCAUCCACAGGAUCCACAGGCGCUGGCUUUACUUCGGGCCCGAGUGCUGCAACUCCUGGCUCAUCCUUCGGCUGACUUCAGUCGUCUUCUGAGCUGAACCGCUCGAACCGCCAGUAGCCCCGGACCUUCGGAACCUGCUCCAUCUUCUCCAAGGACCAGUCUCACUUAAGUAUGCAAACCUCCAGAGCUCCAGACAGGGCUGAUGCUGUCUCAUGCGUUCAUAACUUAGAUAUCCACCUAUUUCUGGUGAUCUUAGAUUCCUCCAAAUCCACAUCCGAGUUUAUCUCGACACCAAAGUUAGUGUAGGUUAAUAUGUUAGCGCAUAUUCACUCACUAUCAUUAACUUUAGUGCUCUUAGCCUGACUCAGAAUCUUUAUUUAUUCACCUAUUAUUAUUUAUCUUCAUUAUCUUAUCAUCAUUUAUUGCAUGUGUGUUGUACCAUCAUUUAUCCUGUAAUAAACAGAUCAUUAUUUUUCUAAGUUCCUGUCUGUUAGUGUUCUUCCAGAAGUGGAGUCCCUGAAAUUAGAAUUUCGACUUAAGAUAUGAGACUGAUUAAUUAAGACUGAUUAAUUAAGGCUGAUUAAUAAAAACUGACUUGAUGUUUGAUUUCUGAAUUAAACUUUUGUUUUCUUUAUUUUCCCACCAUUAAGGGUGGGUGGUGCCCCUUUCAACGAGUGCAUAAAUGUCAUAAUUUGAGAUUAUUAAUCUUCAGACAUUUAUUAUAAAUUCCAAUCGCCAAGUAUUAUUUUGGUGCGGCCUUGUGAGGCUCAUUUCAAAUCGCUACAUAUAUUUUGGUGCGACCGUAUGAGGCUCAUUUCAAAUCACUACAAAUAUUUUUUAAGGAACAUGUUUCAGACCUUUGGGAGUUAGUUAGACAAAAAAAAAGAAAAAGAAAAAAAUAUAUAUUUGGGGUGUUCGGGUUUCCUGAAGGUAAUACCCGGGUAUUAGGUUAUGGGGCUAGGGUAAGGUUUAAGGUUUUUGGUGUUAGAGUUAAAAUCAGUGUCCAAAACCUUUUUAGGAACAUGUUUAAGACCUUUUAGAGUUGGUUACACCAAAAAAAUGUAAAAUGAAAAAAAAAUAUUUGGGGUGUUGGGGCUUACUGAAGGUAAUACCCGGGUAUUAGGUUUUGGGGCUAGGGUAAGGUUUAAGGUUUUUGGCGUUAGGGUUAAAAUCACUGUCCAAAACCUUUGUAGGAACUCUUUUUCCAACCUUUUGGAGUUAGUUAGACAAAAAAAAUGUAAAAUGAAAAAAAUAUAUUUGGGGUGUUCAAGCUUCCUGAAGGUAAUACCCGGGUACUAGGUUUUGGGGCUAGGGUAAGGUUUAAGGUUUUUGGUGUUAGGGUUAAAAUCACUGUCCAAAACCUUUUUAGGAACAUGUUUCAGACCUUUUGGAGUAGGUUACACCAAAAAAAAAUGUAAAAUGAAAAGAAAAUAUUUGGGGUGUUCAAGCUUCCUGAAGGUAAUACCCGGGUAUUAGGUUUUGGGGCUAGGAUUAGGUUUAAGGUUUUUGGCGUUAGGGUUAAAAUCACCGUCCAAAACCUUUUGCAGGAACUCUUUUCCGACCUUUUGGAGUUAGUUAGACCAAAAAAAAAAAAAAUGAAAAAAAUAUAUUUGGGGUGUUCGGGCUUCCUGAAGGAAAUACCCGGGUAUUAGGUUUUGGUGCUAGGGUUAGGUUUAAGGUUUUUGGCGUUAGGGUUACAAUAACUGUCCAAUAUUUUUUAAGGAACAUGUUUCAGACCUUUGGGAGUUAGUUAGACAAAAAAAAAAGAAAAAGAAAAAAAAAAUAUUUGGGGUGUUCGGGUUUCCUGAAGGUAAUAUUAGGUAGGUAUUAGGUUAUGGGGCUAGGGUAAGGUUUAAGGUUUUUGGCGUUAGAGUUAAAAUCAGUGUCCAAAACCUUUUUAGGAACAUGUUUAAGACCUUUUGGAGUUGGUUACACCAAAAAAAAAUGUAAAAUGAAAAAAAAAAAUAUUUGGGGUGUUCGGGCUUCCUGAAGGUAAUACCCGUAUAUUAGGUUUUGGAGCUAGGGUAAGGUUUAAGGUUUUUGGUGUUAGGGUUAAAAUCACUGUCCAAAACCUUUGUAGGAACUCUUUUCCAACCUUUUGGUGUUAGUUAGACCAAAAAAAAAAGAAAAAAGAAAAAAAUAUAUUUGGGGUCUUCGGGCUUCCUGAAGGAAAUACCCAGGUAUUAGGUUAUGGGGCUAGGGUAAGGUUUAAGGUUUUUGG